GCAGCUUUGUUCCACAGAGCCCCCUGCCAUGUAUCCUCCUGCCUGAAGAUCUCCACUUAGACUCUGGUUCCUGGGAAACACCUAAGCCAUGCACCUCGUAUAAUUAGAGGCCUAAACAAGCCCUCGCCGCUCACCACACACCGAUGCCUGGAAGCCAUGGCAAACUGAUUCUCUGUCCAGGGGCUGUGAGCCAUCUUAAUGGGUCUGAAGUGGUACCUCACGGUGUUUUGAGUCACAGUUCCCUGAUGAUGAAUGAAACUGAGCAUCUUUGCAUGGAUUUAUGGGCCAUUUGUGGAUCUUCUUUGGAAAAAUAUCUAUUAAA